rnacentral:rRNA from 1 species
GACGAACGCUGGCGGCGUGCCUAAUACAUGCAAGUCGAGCGAGCUUGCCUAGAUGACUUUGGUGCUUGCACCAGAUGAAACUAGAUACAAGCGAGCGGCGGACGGGUGAGUAACACGUGGGUAACCUGCCCAAGAGACUGGGAUAACACCUGGAAACAGAUUCUAAUACCGGAUAACAACACUAGACGCAUGUCUAGAGUUUAAAAGAUGGUUCUGCUAUCACUCUUGGAUGGACCUGCGGUGCAUUAGCUAGUUGGUAAGGCAAAGGCUUACCAAGGCAAUGAUGCAUAGCCGAGUUGAGAGACUGAUCGGCCACAUUGGAACUGAGACACGGCCCAAACUCCUACGGGAGGCAGCAGUAGGGAAUCUUCCACAAUGGACGCAAGUCUGAUGGAGCAACGCCGCGUGAGUGAAGAAGGGUUUCGGCUCGUAAAGCUCUGUUGGUAGUGAAGAAAGAUAGAGGUAGUAACUGGCCUUUAUUUGACGGUAAUUACUGAGAAAGUCACGGCUAACUACGUG